GUGUCAGCAGCCGCGGUAAUACGUAGGGGGCAAGCGUUACUCGGAAUUACUGGGCGUAAAGGGUGUGUAGGUGGCUGGAUAAGUCAAAGAUGAAAUCCCGAGGCUCAACUUCGGAAUUGUCUUUGAUACUGUUCAGCUUGAGGAUAGUUGAGGAGAGCGGAAUUCCCGGUGGAGCGGUGAAAUGCGUAGAUAUCGGGAGGAACACCUGAGGCGUAGGCGGUUCUCUAUACUAUUCCUGACACUGAGACACGAAAGCUAGGGGAGCAAACGGGAUUAGAUACCCCGGUAGUCCUAGCCGUAAACGAUGGACGCUAGAUGUUCCUGCGUUUAUGCGGGAGUGUCGUAGCUAACGCGUUAAGCGUCCCGCCUGGGGAGUACGGUCGCAAGAUUGAAACUCAAAUGAAUUGACGGGG
rnacentral:rRNA from 1 species